rnacentral:rRNA from 1 species
AUUGAACGCUGGCGGCAGGCCUAACACAUGCAAGUCGAACGAGUGGCGGACGGGUGAGUAAUGUCUGGGAAACUGCCUGAUGGAGGGGGAUAACUACUGGAAACGGUAGCUAAUACCGCAUACCAUCGGAUGUGCCCAGAUGGGCUGAGCUAGUAGGUGGGGUAAAGGCUCACCUAGGCGACGAUACCUAGCUGGUCUGAGCGGAUGACCGGCCACACUGGAACUGAGACACGGUCCAGACUCCUACGGGAGGCAGCAGUGGGGAAUAGUGCCCAAGGGGCGAAAGCCUGAUGCAGCCAUGCCGCGUGUAUGAAGAAGGCCUUCGGGUUGUAAAGGUCUUUCAGCGGGGAGGCGUUACCCGCAGAAGAAGCACCGGCUAACUCCGUGCCAGCAGCCGCGGUAAUUC